CCGCCUGCCGCCGCCGCGCUUGUUAGGCGGCGCGGGCGCGGGAGCAGGUGCCCAGCAGCAGGUGCCCGGCAGCAGCCCGCACCGCACCGCACCGCGCCGCGCAGGAGCGGAGGGGCUCGAGCGAGAGGCGCGGUCCCGGCCGUAAGCAAGAAACUUUCCUCGCUCACAGAGCCCUCUUGGAGCAGCACGGCGCCCCGCUGCCAGGGAGCUCCUGGCGCCGGUCCGGCCCCGCCGCCCUUCUGGUUGCGGAGAGGCGCUCCCGGCCCGACGGACCCCGCGCCGCGUCCGUGCCGGAGGUGCCGCCAAAUCCGGACCGGAGCAGAAGGGAUUCACUGUGAACUAUGAGCGCUGCGACAAAAGUUUUCUAAGUGACAGAUGCGUGCAUAAGUAAACUUGUAUGCAGAAAUUAAAAUCAACUGGAGUUGGUAGCAUCCUCUCUGGAAGUUAAAUAUCGUUCAAAGCUGGGGCGGCACGGGGGUCGGGUUGCGCGUAGCCGAUGGCCUCGGACCGUGCGGGAGUCGGGUAUCGCUGCGGGACGGGCAGCAGCACCGAGGCGGCCGGGGGCAGCGCGACUGCGGCAAGGAGACGGGGGAAGGAAGACGGGCGGAGCGGCAUCGGAGAUAGCAGAAAGAAAAACUCUACUGAGAAGUGUGAAAAGAAAAGGAGGGGGAGGAGCCGCCCACAUGCUGCCAGGAGCCGUCCCGCUGGCAGCUUCUGCUCUCUGCUGUAUCGCUGCCGAACUGGGCGCCAAGGUCAGAAUCAGAAAGUUUCUUCACAUAAACUCGUUAUUUCUAAAUAUGUCUAAGGGGUUAAAGCAGAUCAGAAUCGGCCACAAUAAGGAUUUUGCUUCCUUAUCAAUGCUGGUGAAAUGGCAGAGGGAAAUGCAGACUGAAGGAGCACAACUUUGUCUGUUCAAAGUUCUGAGUGCUCAGCUGCGUUCUUCUGACACUGAAAAAAUAUUCCUCUUUUAAGGCACUUCCCCUGCACAACAGACACAGCUCCUGUGCUACUGCGCUGCUUCCUGUAGCACUUCUGAUGGGUUCCUCCUCAGCUGGAGCUGAUGAUCCCAGCCCAUGAUGAUUCUGGGGAACUCCUCUGGGAGAAGCAAGGGGGGCUCUGGUUCCCAGCUCCGUGGGAUGGAGACAGGACAUAUGCAAAAUCAUUUCACUGUGGCACAAACACAAGAAACAUGAUUUGGAAGAAAGGACAGGGGCCAGAGUGUCUGUCUCUUAUUCUCCCACUCGCAUUGCUGCAAACUGGGUAAGUCAUCUAAUAUCUCUCUGCCUUUUUUCUGCUUCUACACAAGGUUAUUUUUUUCUUAAAAGCUUGAAUUCAGUGAAUGAAAUUCUGAUUUAUUAUUAUUAAUAUAUUCCAAUAAAUGGUUGCAGUGCUUUAGUAUCGCUUUGAAGUCAGUCAAAUAAGUAUUAAAGAAACUGUGAAUGGCAAGAAACCUCAGUUCGGUCCAUCUGAUAUGCCUCUGUUGAAAUGUUACUUGUGGGAUGACCUUCUCAAAACAAGGAACUGAGAAAGCUACGUGUGCUAAAUGGAUCCUGGAGGCUCGAGAAGCUUUUUCUCUCAUCACUCAUCCAUCACGAAUACACUGACAUGAGUCGUGGCCCCAAAUCGCUAAGAGUAACUUCUACAACAUAAAGCAUGUAAAUGUGCUAGUAAAUACGUUAUAACAUCAUCAGACCCAUGGCUACUCAUACAACUUUCUUCUAUCUACUGUCAUUAUUCUCCCCUUCCUCCUACCCUGCCUUACUGUUGUGAAUUAUGGGCAACUGUUGGAAAAGUGACACAGACUCUAAUUAUGUACAUAAUACCAUAAUUGAUUCAAACUACUUUGUUUCCCCAAAAUGCUAUUCUUUAUUAGCUGGCAGGCUGCUUGUUUCUGAUCCUAGCAUUGUCGGUCACAUCAGGAAAGCCAUCUCAGUAAUAAAACAGCUAUUGUGGGGGAAGUAUUAUUGGUUCUGUACAGAGCUCUUUAGCAGUAAUUAUGUACAGCUUUUAGUAAUGUUGAGGCUUACCCAAGCAUCACUGAAACAAACCAUUUGCAAUGACAUGCAACGAUGCCUGUACAGUAUUUUUACAAGCAAACUGAAAUAAGACAUUUUGGUGGUAACAUGUAAAUUAGCCUUGAGGCUUGCAAUGCAAUGCUCAUCAAGUGUGUAACAUUUAAUUACAAGACCAUUGAGCAUGAGUCCUCUGAGAUUUUUCAUCCUGACAACAGAAAGAUUAUCCCACUGAACAGACAAUUUGAUUCCUCUUAUCAGAUGUGGAAUGAAUCCUCCAGUCCCUCAGCAGGCCAAGCAGGCGUUUAAGGAGUGAUGAGUUUCAGAACCCUACCUGGUAAAGUACCUUGUGGAGGUACCAGCCCUUAAGAUACCUUGCUGAAUUCCAUCUGCAAGGAAUUGAGACUUGUAGUCUCCAGGUACAAAGUACCACAGUCAUGUGGAGUCUAAUCUAAUAAAGAGCUCAGUCUGGGUUAUCUUGAUUUCUACCUUUAUAAACAAAGCCAUAUUGCACUUGAGGAGCUACAUCAUGGGCACUGCAGUGUCUUCAUACAUUCAUUCAGAACUGGUUGUUUCCAACAUGCCUCAGAGCAUAGCAGCACAGGAAGCUCCAGCAAUUCUGGGCCGGUGUCAUUUGCAUCCAAAUGUGUACAGAAAUACAGACCAGAUUUUUCCUUGACUCCAGCCUCUAGCACAAACAAUACUAAGUUCUUUGUCUCAGCAUCUACUUCUAGAUGCUUCUAGAAAAGGUAGUGGAUAUUUAGGUUAAGGUUGCAAGGUGGCUACACAAGGGCAUCUGAGGAGGUUGCUUCGAAAGUAAUGCCUCCCGUUUAUUUCCAUGGAAAUUACAACAGACACAGAGAGCACAAUAGCCCUUUUUGGUAGGACUCAGCUACAAAAGACCAUUUUUCAACAUAGUCACCACCAUUAGCUAUGCAUUUUCACCAGUGGUGCUUAACAAUUGCACACAAAGGUUGCACCUCUCUCAAAGGCCGACCACAUGAUAUGAAAUACACAACCUUCCUCCAUUUGUUUCUCUGACUGACUUUUCCCUGUCUGACAAACACCUGCACACUCUUCAGAGCUCUGCUCAGAGCCCGUGGUUAGGGCCCCCCGAUGACCUACACCCUUUCUGGUAGCACAUUUUAUUUUCUGGUUAUCUACACUGUUCUUCAAGUGAAGUCCUCAAUGAAUACACUUGUGGGUGUUUUUCAUGACUAACCCUACUAGCUGACAUUGACAGAAGACAGAAAUCAUCUAUGUGGAAACUUCAGAGUAUCUCAUACAGGUAAGUUUUGUGGCAAACACAGCUUACAAGUGUUGCCUGGUUUGAUGAUGAGUGUUAAAAUUUCAUGGUUUGUUUUUUUAAGUCAUAAAGCUUGGAGUUAUAAAUGGCACAUAUAAAUGUGUGUAAAAUUUGGCAUUUAUCUAUAAACAGUGUAGAAAGAUUCUAUCCUCAUUUUUAGUCUGUAUCCUUGAUGAACUGCAUCAAAAAAAAUCAGAGGGCUGAAGUGGGAAAGAAUAAACCAUAGAAAAGUUUUGCACUUCAUUCUAAGGGCCUCCUCAUUUUUGCGUUUGGAAUACUUGAAGAUGACAUCAGCAUUUUGUCAGGAGGAAGGAAAGUUUACAAGAAUUUGAUUACAAGAACCGAUUGAAAUUAAUUAAACUGAGUUCUGGAUUAUGAGAGUCAUACGAAAUCGUUAGCCAUUUCAAAAAUCCAAAAUUGAUGCUAUUUUCAAGUAUACUUGAGAGGCAAAACAAUAUCCUGUAGGUUUGCUGGAGAUAGGAUUUUCAUUUUCAAUAUCUACCUAGCACAGCAAAUAUAUUUGCUAACUUAUUGUUUGUUUAGAUGCUGAAAAAUGAGAAGCCUGAGGAACUGGCUGCCCUGCUGGAUGUAGCAAGGGAUAUGACCAGAUCUGGGACAGCUAAUGUUAAUGUUCUGACAGCAUCUAGCUUCCCAAUACUCAAAUGUUAGCUUUUUAUGCAAAUAGUCUUCACAACAGCAUGCUCGAUCUUUGCUAUUGCAUGAUUAGUGUUCUCAUGUCUAAUCAAUAAAUCCCUAGAGCCUCUCCAUCUAAUGGCCAUUUUGCUCAGUCUCUCCAGUAGGGAGGUCUGUUUAGCAGCAGGUUUUCAGCAGAACAAAAUGUGGAAUCAAUAGCCUGAGAAUAAUCUGCCAGGUUGUCCUUAUGAAAUAUUUGUAUUUUUUCAUGCAAGUUCUAACAGACCAAAUGACUUUUCCAAUACGGAAGGGUUUAGUGCCUCGUAUGGAAAUACAUCAACUACACGAUCACCAGCACACACAGUAGGAUCUCUCAAGGUCACUGGUGAAUUGACUGGAGAGCUUCAAUACAGCUUUAGAGUCACGUCAUGCAGAUACUGAACACCCACCUAAAUGUUUACAAAUUGCCUCUCAGGGACUACAGCAUGUAGGUGAGCAUGGCCCUGGGAGGAAGCAUGGCUUUCGUCUUCCGUGCUCGCUCCACACCUGUACCUCCCUGCUGCUGCACAUAACAGAAAUCGAAAUCUCUGCUCUCUGUUCUAGGCCUGAUCUGGGGGAGGGAUCCUGAUGCCAGCCUCCUCUCCUGGUUGGUUUAACCAGUACAGUAUAUGACAGCAGGAGCCCUCAGCAAAGAGUCUGGGGUUAGGUUUUUUUUUUAGCUUGGUUUCCUAAGGAAAUGAGGGUCACGUCACUGCUGUCUGUCUGUCUGUCCUUGUUUUUCUCUCAUACUGCCUCAAAGAAACAUUUUAUCGUGUGAGAAAAUUUCAGCCAAAAUACAAAAGCAUUGCAUGUCUCAAAAAAUAAAUGCAUACCUGCAAGAAUUCAUGAGUUGAGUGUGGUGGAGCAGCUCUCACAAAAGACUAUUACUUUUUUCUCUAUAUAGCAAGUCUACAAGCUAUCACAGCAUCAUUCCUGUUACCUACAGAGUAUGAUGGAGCCUGAUCCUGCAUCAUCCCCCAGCUAGCUAUAGGCUACGGGCAUGGGAUGAUCAGACCUCGCCCAACCAUAUCCAGAGCUCUGGUGACGUGGCUAAUUGAUGAAGGCGCAAUUACGUGCUAAGACAUUUGGCUAUGUCAUAGCCAAAAAUCAAAAAGGACCAAAAUAAUGAAAAACUACUCUCUAAAAGUCAAUCAUCUCAUGAUCCUAUAAAUAGUGACUCUAAGCAAGACCUCUUGGAGCUCUCUGGGACCACAGCAGGCUGUGGCUUGGGAGCUCCCCCUGAGCCUUCUCAGGGAAGAUUCCUUGAAGUUUCAGAAUCAUCUGCUGACAGCCAACAUAACUGCAAUGAGUACUGCAAUCUAAUAGGGGGAAAUCCUUAGGUGUGCAACUAACUUAACCCCCAGAUACAGUUGGUUUCGUGUGAACCCUGCCAUCUUGUCAGUGUCAUAUUUAUGAUUACUAUUCUGUUAAACAGGUAUCUUGCAACAAUAAACAUAAUAUUGCUUUUCUCUCACAAGUUAUUUGCAUUGCUCCCUUCAGUGACAGAGAGGAAGGAGACACAAAUCCCCACUGUUACUGAGCAUUCAGCAGCAGCCAAAGGACAAACCAACACUCCACUAUUGCUGCUCAUCAGCACAAGGCUGUUUGGACAAGCCAGUGCAGCAACUGCAUCUUAGCUGGUGAGGGUGCAUUAGGGAUGCCUGGUGGCAUCCAUCAGCAAGAGGCUCCAAGGAGCACAGGGCACAGCUCUUGUAGGCAAGCCUCUGGUUCUGCACUUUGCAGCUGUAGUUACAAUUAUGUCAUCUUCAGGAUGUUCAGCAACACAAUUUCUGUUGUUGAGAUUUUACAAUUGAGCAGUACGAAUUAUAUUAAUUCUUUAAACAUACUGUUUGCCUAAAUCUUGAGUUACAGACUGUAAUAUAAUCUCACCAAUCAAAAACACCCCACCUGCUCUCAGAUAGGGUCUGAGCCUUUUUUUUUCUUUCUUUUUUCUGAAGCAAAGCUCCCACUCAAUAUGAUGAUGUAGUAUGAAACUCGGGCUGUGCUGCUCUGCAUUUGUUUAGUAGCAAUUGAUAGGGUAAUGUAAACAUCUGUAUAUCCUUUGUAAGUAGCAGCACUUGCUGCUAGACAAAAACACUGAGAGAAUAUCCACAAAAAUAAAGAAACCAAACAACUGAUGGUGACAAAGAAAAAAAAAUCACCACUAUGAAACACAAAAUCGAUAGAUUAUGAAAGCUACUCCAAGGCUUCCACUACUAUAAUCUCAAGGUUUUAUUAUCACAUAUCAAAAAAUCAUUACUGCAAUAUCAAAACAUUCAUAAUAACAAAAUAAAAACUCCACUCAUUCUGUUCCUGCAGGGAUCUGAUCUAAAAAUCCACAAGAAAGAAAGCCACAUAACUGUUGUGAAAAUGGCAGUUGGUCACUUCAGUCAUUCAGCCACUCUGGGUCUGUAGCUGUACACCACUCACUGCACUUCAGUGCCACCACUGUUGAUAAUUCCACUGCUCACACAAACAAAUUAUAACUAAAUUAGACAAAACAUGCAGCCUUUUGGAAAAGCUCAUAAGUGCUGCUAUCAGGUGCUCUAUUUGAAGCUUAAUGCCUUUUUAAAUCUAAUAUAACUCAUUCUCUAUCAUUCUGAGAUAACAACUUAUUAUUCAAAAUAAACACUACCUUGCCUCCUUCUGAAGUUCUUAGCAGCUUUAACAUUCACCACAUCUCCUUUCCUCAGAAGCAAGAGGCACUACAAAUAGCAUGGGAAACUUUCCUUAUUGCUACAAGGAAUGAAGCUUUAAUGAAAUCAGCUUUCUGGAACGUCACUUUUGUUCAUUUGACACUAAUUUGGCACCUUUCAUAUAUAAUUAUACAUAGUACUUUCAAAGCUAACAAUUUCUUUUUGAGCCUGCAGAUAAACAUAGCUUGUAGGUCAUGAUGGCAGUAUUUUAGGGGAUCAUUUUCCAUUGGUCUGCAUAACAAGAAAAGGAAAAAAAAAGCUUUCUGGACCAGUUCACCCAGGGUGAUCUGUUUUAUUCCUGUUUGACAUCUGAAACUCUAAGUCUGACCUGAGUUUUGUAACCCCAAUCAACUCUUUGUAGUGCAUCAAUGUAUUUAACAAAUAUUUAUAAAGUCCUCCUUUACUAGGGAACAGAUCAUAAAUAUACACAACUAAUGAAUAAAAGGAAUAAAGCUCACUGCACUUCCAUUAAAACUUGUAAAAAUUAUAUCUUGUUUGGCUGGUUUUCUUCCUGUGAGUGCUGGUAGCUGAUGGCCCUUCUGAAUCCCCAGAAGAUACUCCAAGUUAGCUGACUAGACAAAAACAAGAAGGUUUAAAAUUUGAAAGGAAUACACAGGAACCAGGCUGCUUAGAGUUGGACAAGCUCACACGGCCUUAUGCUGUGAUAUUACAUAUGGGAAAAGACCUGUGAGAAAAGUACCCUAGCUCCUCUCAAAGGACAUCUUUGUAGGUGAGGAACAUCAAACCAAAGGAGCACGUGAAUAGGGUGGAGAUCUGGCUUAUACAUUCUGCCUACAUGGCCUUGGCUUUUCUUCUGCUAUGGGAAGAGUGUCUGAAGCCACCCUCCAGCCUUUCAGCUGAUAACCUACUUCCUGACAAUAACUAGCAAACACUAACAUUGCACUUGGCUCUGCAGUAGACUCCAAACAGCCCACAGGCAUGGUGCAGGGUCAGCCUGCUGCUAGGCUGUUUGUUUAUUUUGGUUGACAUUUUCCUUUGUUGAGUAUCUGUUCCUUGUUAUUCUUAUGUACAGCCCUGCACAUAUCCUAUCUGUUUAACUGUCUUUGGAUAAAAGUGGGUAUUUUCCCAUGUCAAUAAAUGUUCUGGUGUGAAGCUGUGAGCUGGCCUUCGAGAGAACCACCCCCUGCUGCGUAUCUCACUUGUGCAUUGAGUUUUCUUUGUUAAUCAUGUGCAAAAUAAGAAGGCUUUCUGUCUAGCAAAAACCCAUCAUUAAUUUUUCAUAUGAGCACUAAAGUCUUGAGCAGAAUCCUUAAGUGGCUUCAAAGAAAAAGGAAUAAUAAAACCAAAGAGAUACAUCUUCCUUUCCCUUUCUUCAUUAUUUGAUAUUUUAAGAAAACUUCUUAAUGCAGUUCUCUCAGUUUCAUGAUGACACAUUCAUUUUGAAGACUACAUUUGACCUUCAACUUUGUCCUUCAUUAUCAGGACUACACCUAAACACGCCUUCACUUUACUGCAAAUGAGACAGAUGCAAUGUGUGUUCUGUUCAGCCCCAGCAUUAGGAUUAUCCCAAGAGUGGCAUUUAUGUUCUUGUAGUUCUUUGGUAUAAAUAAAUAUCAAAGUAGGAAGACCAAUCUGUACUCCACUAGGAAUAAUAAACUAAAAUAAUAUGGCACUGAUUCUGUUUGGGUUGUCUAAAUGUGUUUUUAUGAUUGUAUAUGUUUAUGGCUUUCUCACACAGCCAUCAUGAAUUCCAGGCAAUUAAAAAGGACAUGAGUUCUGAAGCAUUUUAAAAGGGGCUUUGCUUCCAAAUGGUAUGUAUUAAAAGUAGAAUACAUUUUUUUGACAGGGCUACUGCAAAGUCAACAGUCACAUAUUUCCCUUGUUCCAAAUUUCUUCCCUUUCUUCUCCUGCCUGCAAUAACUAAUUAGAAUAUUCCUCUAAGUUGAGAAGAAAGGGAGGGAAAGACUACUUUUAUGUUUGCACAUAUAUUAGAUGCAUUGCUAGCAUAAGCCUGUGAGCCCCAGAUUUCAAAGCAGCUCAGAGGCAGUAUAUAGCAGGCCUUGUAUUAAGUGUAUCAACCUAUGUAUAUGCUAAACUACCUGCUUUUCCGCACUGAACAAGUUCCAUGUCUCUGUGCACAGCUGAGAGCAUGCCUGUCCUUGCUGUACAAUGCCCAGUUUACCCCCACUUGAACUCACCAGCACAGAUUUUUGAGGCACGGUUGUAGAAAAGUGCCUUAUUUAAUUGGAGUACUUCUGCUCCAAUAUACUGAGAACUGGCAUGAGUUACUGAACAAAGAUCUGAACAGAAAAGUAAGAAAAAUAAGCAGAGAAAAAGCAGUACUUUUGAUCAUAAAGUUACAAACUGAUGACUUGGUUUUGUCAUUUACAUAAAUUCAAACACAGAAUUGAGAGAAAAAAGACUUUAAACAAAUUUUCAACUAUGACCUGAAUCAGGUCCAGUUUCAAAAACCUGUGUUCAAUACCAUUUAGGAAGACAAGAAAAUAAUGAGUUUUAUAGGCAAAUCAAAUAGGUAUUUUAAAGGUAAAAAUAUAUUGUUUCCUGUUCAUGUCAACUGCACAACUUUAUACGUAAGAAAAUGCUAAUAAAUGGAAAAGAGAGAAAGAGAACGACAAAGUUUGUUUUUUCUCUUCCUCCCAGUAAUUUUGGGGAGUUUAAGAUUCCUUAAUUUUAGCAAUCUAUAUCCUGUUCCAUAAAGUCUCCCACAGCAGCCAGUGGAACAACUUAUAAUCUUCCUCUCUUUUCUAAUGUGGAAUCAGGUUAAUGGACUUUCCCCAGGUGAUAUUUUAAGGACUUUGGAAGAGAUGCAAUGGGGCAGGUACUUAUGAACUGUGCUGCUGAGCCUUCCUCCUGUCACCUGCCAGAGCAAGUAAGAGAAGGAGGAAGACUGAGCUGCUGGCAAUCAGACUCCUCUUUCCCUUUCUCUACGCAGCCUAGGGAGAUGUUUGCAUUCCACAAAAAGUUUAGGAGUUAUUUAGGAGUUAUGAUGGAGUGUCCCUAUGCUUUCUGAAUCUUUUUGUCCAUCCUUAGCUUAAACUCUUGCAUGACUCCUUUGCUGUUUCUUUGUCAUAAAACUAUAAAUGAGCAGUUUAAAACUCAGUAGAAUUGCCAUUCAGAUUUGGAGUUGGAUUAGAUGACCUUUAAGGGUCCCUUCCAACUCAAAGGAUUCUAUGAUUCUAUGAUUUAAAAGAGAUGUACUCACUGGAGAAGUGAAAUCCUGUACAGGAUAGAGUCAUGUCAGUCCAUACUGGCACCCAAGUACUGAAAGAUGAGUUUUCAAUAGGUAAAAAGCAGCAACCAUCAACACUGAUGCUAUGUGAUGAUGAGCAGGGUCAGACUAACCUCUUGGACAGAGUGCACUUGAAUCAUUGAAGAGAAUGCCCCAGCAGCUAAUUAACUGCAUGGCAAAGAAAGAGCUUCUAUUUCGUUUCUCUUCAGGCUAGUAAAGUAUGAAUAAGCAGUAGGAGAGGGUACACGCAAAUGGCACAGGCAAAGAUCUAACUCAGAGAAAAUAGACCUUUCACAGUCCACAAAUACCAGUACUUUAUGGGAAAAUCACUGGGGAUUUCUGCCACUUUGGUCAUAAUACACUGCCUUUUCUGUACUGUUUACUGUAGCUUUGAACAUUCACCUAUUACAUAAAUAGAUUAAUCACUGUGUAGUCAUAAAGAGAACUAUUAUCCCAUCAUUCUUAAGUGCAGAAUGCCAGCUGUGUUAAUAGAAAUGUAUCAUCAUGUCAUUAUUAAAUAUUCAUAUUGUUGUAUCACCAAGAGACCAAUCCUGUCAGGUUUCCUCUGUUAAAUUAUUAAUAAACAAUAGUCCCUGACAAGCUGACAUGUGUCUGUGAAAGAGUCAGAACUGACACAAGCUUCCUGUGUUUCCAGAGGAAGUGUGUAAAUCCUACUCAGGACCCAUGCUCAAUUAUGAGAUCCUUGCAGAAGAUGAAACAGGUGCUCCUGAAACAACCUUUGGCAGGAACAGGGCAGAGAGGAAGAACCAGAUGAGCCAGAAGUGGCUCCAAAGGCAAGUGGUAGUAAUCCUGUCCUGCUAAGGAAGUCAGGAGGCAAGAAAAGAAAACAAAUAGAAUAAGCAGCUCGUUACAAUUAAAUUACAGCCCAGUUUUCACAGGUUUACCCAAGCCAAGUUCUGAGCCUAGAAAAAUUAUGCCUAAGUAAUGAAGACUCCCCUGGCUAUUCAGAGCCAGCAUCUAGCAGCAGACUCCAGAGCUGCCCCAGGUAAGACUGCUGCAGGAGCAGAGCUCUCCUCCUUACCAUGUGGAAUGUCUCUUGCUUGUCUAUUACAACAGGAAAUGUUUUGAAAUCUGAACAAUGCAGGAGAUCUGAGGGCAGACAGCACACAUAAUGAAAAGAAAAAAGAACUAUUACUUGGAAAUGAUUGUUGCUUUGUCACUUUUCCUUAAUUUCCUCAGUAACUGGUAGAAACCGUUCCUUAGAAAAUAUUUAGGAAAUAACAUCCAUAACGCUAUUGCCCUGCCUCAGUCUUGGCCAUUGUUUCUGUGCUUUUACUUUUGAUGACAGGUGAUUUUCAAUUGUAGUCAUUUUUAUGAAUACUCAGUGUAUAAAUUAUGCAAAUAUAGUCUCUAAUUUCAGGAUACAUUUCAAAGAUUCUCCUCACCUUGAGAUGUAUAACAAGUUCAUAACGUUUUAUUUAAUGCUUCAGAUGCUUUAUGAUCAAAAAUUUUGUUUUAGAAGAUGCCCAUAAAAUCCCUAUAUUCCUUUAUGAAAGCAGAAUUCUGAGAAAUUGAAUAGCAAGGUUUGCACAGUUUGAUCUCCAGUUAAUUUGUUAAACUUAGGUAAAUAAUACAUGUUCACACUGUAACAUAUAAUUUGAAAGAAAACCUAUUUUUGUAAUUCAAAAUUGAGUAUGGCCCAUGGCUAGAACAAGCUGACCAGGAGGCAGGCUUUAGCAGAUGCAAAGCUUAUUUGAUGCUGUUGGAGCUAUUCAACUGUAACAAAGACUAUCUGUAUCCAAAGGGAGUGCUACGGAUUUGAUGGAACCAAAGGAACAAGACCUCCCUUGGUUCAAGAAUGGGAAAUAAUUUCCUGCAUUGCCAUUUUCAUUUUUGAACCUUCCUUUGCUGUUCAUUAACAAAUUCAAUGACGUUCUCGGUACAGUGAAGAAAACUUCUCAUUUCACAAAAAGCUUUUGGAUUUCAAAUAAACUUCUUGUCAAGUGUUGGCAAGAAAGAGAUUUCUCAAAAUGAUAAACUCUCCCUGCUACACCAAAAUACUUUCCCCAGUGCAUAGUCAAUGGAUACUUAACUUAUGUAAAAUGAACCAACUUGAUCAGGAGCAAUUCAGCAAGGCUUUGGAGCAGUCUGUUAACUGACAGCUAGCUGGCACAGUAAGGAUGAGAAAGGAAAAGCAUAUAUUUUGUGUGUUGAUAAAAUCAGGCAGAAACACCUGAACACCACUUUUUUGCACUUCUUGCACGAGCUCUCUGACUACUGAGCUGCUGGCCACAAUGGCUCAGGCAAAGGCCUCAGUUUCAUCUGUGUAAGAAUCAGUGUUUUACCACCAACAAAAUGGCUUUGGCCUUGAAAUUCAGUGCCUUACAAUGCCCCCCCCCACCACCCCCCCGCAUUUAGCACAAAAUUACCUGAUAACCUGACUUGUGUUUUUUGAAAUUAAUCUUUAAAAUGUUGAGAUGGCACCAAAAAAGGGAAAUGGAGAAAUUUGAAAUUGUCUUGAAAAUCGUGUGUCUUCCCGAUUUUACUUGCAUACAAUUAAUGAGCUGAAGGUCAGCUGCAGUCUUGCAGUUAUUCGGUCUGGAUUGCUGUGUGUCACAAGCCUUUUCAGAAGAACCUGACAAAUCUCUCUCGUUAAUAACAAAUGACAAUCUCUUCGGUGCUACAAUGCAUGUUACAUUUAAUCAAUUUGCUAUUUGUAUUCACUGUGUACAUCUACUGUUUUGGGUCAUGAAAAAUUGAAAAGUAAUUACAACAUGGAAGACCAUCAUGGAUAACGAAUGAGAUAAGACUAGAAAAUGUUCUAUUAAUUGGUCAGUUGUGCUUGUCAGUACAUUGAAAGUAGUUAAGACGGGGAAUGAGAUAAGACAAUUCUAUGCCUCUGAGGUGAAACAGAGCUUAAGGAUAACCACUGCUAUGAUACUUUUGUUAUGAUAAAAAUUCAAUCAUCUAAGCACUGUGGUGAUACAAGGAGCUUUAGAAAGCUGUUUAACUACAGCUAUUACUUGAAGAAAUCAAAGUAACUUCCCUGAUUGAAUUGUACUAUAGUAAUGCCUGGUAGUGCAGCCACACUAUAAAUAAAGUCUGUCAGCAUCUCCAUCAAUGCCCCCACUGCCAAGGGCUGCUAACUCAUCUCUUUUACAUUUCAACAGCCUCAAAGAGGGCAAACAAAUUAAUGACUCAGAUGUCUAUUUCUGUACUAAAAAGGGAUGAAACAAGUUAAACUGGUUUCAAUCAAUAGAAUAUCAAAGCGCUGACAAAUUUUUAGGAUUUCAGUUGCAUUUUCUUAUAAUUCAGAGGUAAAUGUAAGUAUUAACUUCAAAAAUGGAAGUAGACAAAACUCUUGUCUCUCCAAGAGAGACUUGCAUUUGUUGGACCAAACACUACCUGCAUUUGAUGAACAGAUGCCAAGUACUUCUAACCUAUUAGUUUAUAAGCCUUUGAUCAAACCUAUGAGUCUACGUUUCCUACAGACAUGCAAAGCAGAAUUUCCAUGUUACAGUAUUGUAGCUUUCUUAAGCUGUGUAAGAACAAGGGCUACAAGGGCUGUAUCAGUAGCAGAGGCAGUACUACCAUCUUUACCCUCUUUGUUUUUUUCCCCAUAUUAGCAACAUGUUUAUAUGCAAUAACAGGCACUCUGCCCACUAACCCAGACCAGCCAAUACUGGGCUGAUCACAGCCACUAUUUUGUGUCUGUACAGUUGAGCUUCCUAAAAAUAAAUGUCAAAAUAUACAUCUGGAAUUAAAAUAAACGUGCAAGUUCUUAACUACUUCCUAUGCUUCAGAAUUAGAAUUUGCCUGUAUAAUUAUGCUUCAGAAGAGGCCAGUGGUCAGAGGUUCCUGCUAUGCAGAGUCACAACUGUAGACUUCAGACUGUUUCUGCUGAAAAGGGUAGCUUUAAGGUUGAAUCAGAACAGAAAGCAGAGUAAAGAAGUAAGAAUAGAAAAAGCCAUAGCUGACAAUCACAUUAUUGAGAAAGAGAACCACGGUGACAAGGGAGGGCAAAAGUGCUGAAGAAGGUGAUGACUGCAUUGCUCUGACAUCUGGAAAGUAGAGUUUGGUCAUAAAAACUUCUCAGCAUUAGCAAUUAGAGUAGCUUUUCUUUGACAUUGCCCCUGAAGUUUAGAAGGAAUAUCAUUGAUUUCAUAAUGAAAGCUAUUCAUUUUGCAAAGGUUUGUUGUAAAGUGUCAUGAGGAAAGGCAUCCUCAAGGCAUUAAGAAAUCUAGUGAAAAAGCUGCAGAAAGGUGUAAAGAAUUCUAAAUCACUGCAUUGUCUAUAUAUUAAUGUAAAUAGGUGCUAAAUGCCUUGGCUGAUUAAUGCUCCCUUCCUCAUAAGGAAGGAGAAUUACUAAAACAAUAUUAAAAGAAAUACAGGAGUGAAUAAAACCAGUGCUAGCAGCAUAAUGAUUACAUAGGAAACAAGAUGCAGUAAAGCUAAUGUCCUUUCUCAGAUAGGAUUUGGUCUAGAAAUUGGCAGCUAAAGCUAUUCAAGUAGGCAAGACAAAGCUUUCAUUACCUUCACAUAAAACAUUUUUUAUCACUCAAGUAAGUAUCUUGCCAGCUGUGUGUGUGUGUGACACUAUGUAGUCUAUUACCAUCAGCAAUGAGGUGUGAAAAUUCUUCACGAAACCAUUCUAGAAAAAAGCUUCAGGUUAUCAGGGCACUUCUUAAGGAGCUUGUUCAAAAGCAUUAGAACUGUUUAAUUUUCACCAUCCUGUAGGCAACAAAAAUGUUGGGGUUUUGUGAAAUGGUAGAAGUAUGAGGUUUUUGAAGAAGACACUGCAUGUGCACGUCUACUCUAACACUCUCUUUGAAGAAGAGCAAGGAUACAGGCUCCAGACAGUUCAUUGGUGUAAACAAACCAGUAAAGGCAAAGCUAAAAAAAAAAAGAGAUACGUGGAAUAGGAUUUUCUAGACAGGUGUGAACUUCUAGGACAUGUCCCCAUCAGCCUCAGUGUGAUAAAACACGCUGGUUCCCAGUACUUUGUAGUGUUUGCUUGGCCACAAAGAUUUUGAUUCCUGCUGUGCAUGUCAGCACAGUGCUGCACCUGUGCUGGUGGCUCUCUGCAGGCACAGCACUCUCCCUGUGUUGCAGGGUUGGGGUUGAAGUAGGGGUAUUUUAUCUACUAAUGCAUAACAUAUUUAUAUUAUUACAAGUAUUAGGAGAUACAAUUAUGCAACCUACAACUGUGCUUUGCUAGAUUUAUUAAUGUAUUGUAGAUCUUGUGGUUACUUGGAGAGAAAUGUUUGCAUCAAGCAAUCUGAGUAGUGGUAUGUACUCAACUUUUAUUGACUCACAGAUGGUUGGAAGUAAUUAUAUGAUUUCUCAAUAAGCAUCAGAAUUUGGCCAUAAAGUUCAAUUAUUUUGACAUGAGAGAUCAAUAACAGGAAUCUGAAGCAAUUAAAGACACAUAAUUCAGAAGCUGCUCGGCUAAAAACAGUCAUGUGGUGAAUCUGUUCCUGACUUCAGCUACAAUGUGAAUGUAAGUUCAGUCAGUGGUGCUGUUCUUCAUACCAAAGCAGAUAUAGUCAAUGGUUUAGGCUGUUAACAUAAGAUCUUAUUAUUAUGCACUUCUCAAGCACAUCCCACAUCAUGGGCUGCAUCCUAUACUGCACACAUUCUUUACCUCUGUAACUUUGAAUGUAAUAUUAAAAUCUGCCAUCAUUCAUAUCUGUGAAAAGCACAGAGAUAAGAGUACACAUUCACUAUUUUGUUUUAAACCAGCAUCAAAACACAAUCUCUUGCAUUAAAUAUUGAUCAAACUUUGGGCUUAACGAGUUUCUUCACUGAACAAACCAAAUGCUAUACUGGGAUGCCCGCUGCCAGGGCACAUCCCGAGUCUUACUACCACUUUUACCCUCUUCAAUUUUUUUUUUUUUGCCUUUGCUUAAAUUAGCAAGGUAUUUGUGCACAUCAGGCUCUCUGUCCACUGACCCAGACGGCCAAAAUGUCUCUUCUGCAAUCAUCAAUCCAUAGGUGAGCCACUGAUGGCCUCUCUCCAUUCCUCACCAGCCCAUACCACUUUAUAACCACUGCUGGCAUGGAACACUCUGACAAAGUGUUGCAUCUGCCUUUGGCUCCCUUUGGCAGCAGGUUCUGCAAGUUACAACUGAGUGGUACUAAGACAUUACCCCAUGCUUCCCAGCUCCACACCAAGAUGCCUCCUGCCCAAAGCAAUGCUGGUAAUACCUAAAGACCUUAAUAAUGCAAAAGUACGGUAUCCCUUUAAGUGCUUAUUUCAUUCCCAGUGUCUUCUCCCAGUUCCUUUGCUGUAAUAAGCAGACAGCUGGCACCAAACACCAGUGUUUUUUUCCUGGGUAUGCUAAUGAUCUAACAUAAAAGAUAAUGUUAGUCACAGUUAGGUACAGAUGUGACUUCGGCACUUUCCCUCCUUUUCCAUUUCCUUCUGCUGCCUUUGAAGGAAGACUGCAGCCAGUAAAAAUUAGCAGUGAAGUAUUGCUGCUCUCUAUUUUGUUUCACUUACAAAUGCUACUGCAUCUGGACAGAUGUUGACUGCCAUUUCAUCUGAAUGGGCCUAAACAAGUAGAACGGUUAGGAAUUUGAGGCAUUUCCACUUUUUCAUUGGAGUUAUUACAUUCCAAGUAUGUGGAGGACAGUUCUACAGCACAACAAUUUACCCUACAAUACAAAAAAAUAGUAAAAUUGCAUGUAAUGUGUGCUCCAGUAUAGGAUACUAAGGGUCUCAGUCAAGGCUGUCCUGUAAUCUAUAUCAAACAAUAUGUCUAAAAGUUUGACUGAGCAAAUAGUAAAGCUAUGUUAAUAAUGCAUUGUUUUGUUUUGUUUUUUCAAAAGACUUAUUUGAUUCAAAAAUAAUAAAAAACACAACUAACAAAAAAAGAACAAACAAACAAACAAAAAAGCAACACAAAUCAACAACAAAAACACCAAAGCCCCAAACCUAAGAAGGGUCUCCAUCAGUAGGUUCAGUAGUUUGGAUGGUUUUAGUCAUAGAGAUGAGCAUAUACUGAGUCCUAGUGCAGCCAGUUAAGAACAAUUUGGUCUCCCUCUAGAGAUGGCCGGUAAACACAGCCAAUGCAUGCAAAAAGACAACAUUUCCCUUUUUCUUUACUUUCUAUCCUAAUUUAGCUGUCAAAAAUUCAUUAUUUUAAAUAUUUCAACCAACCAUAGAAUGGGUUGGAAACAGGAAAAAAUGAAUUGCAGAUUUUGAUUAUAUUUUCACUCCACCAGUAGUCAAGACUUUCACAUUGUAUCUUCAAAUGCAUAAUUUUCGACCAGCUUUGCUCACCAGAAGAACGUGGAAAGCAGGACAGACUCAUGCCACUGACAAGUUUUAAAGAGCAUCCUUCAAGUUCCUAGAAAUCAGAGCUCUUUGAAAAAAACAACCAUAAAGAUUUAGUGUAGACAAACACUUGAGAAGCACAGACCAUAAGACAAAUUGCAUCACAUUUCUUUAAAGCAUAACAUCUGAUAAUGUUUUAUAUCUUAAGAUCUAUGAACGAACUUGCUGAUUAUACACAGCUACCGCCAUUUGUUUCUUUGUAGCACUUCUGUAAGCGAGCGUGCUUGGAAUCUCCAGGUCUAUUAAAGGUAAAAUCUCAAGCUGCCAGCAAGUUCUUCAGAGGAAUCUCCUGGCCUUGGCAUUAUCUGUGGGCUUUGUCCAGGGACACAGCAUUUAUUUCUUAAAACUGGAGCAACCAGCAUAGUGCAGCAGCCAAGCCAGGUCACGCUGCCCAGAUUCUUCCCCGGCUGUUCUGCUGACCAGUUCUGUGCCAAGCUCAUCUGCUACCCACACAAGCCUUUCCAAAAACAAGUUCCCUUCUGGCUCUUCUCCAAAGAACCACUGACUCCUGGGCUUCCCCUGACCACUGGUAUACAAACAAGGUAGCAAGAACAAGAUUCACCCUACCUAUCUUAAAGUGAGCAAUAACAACUGCGUACAACUAGUAUGCAAGUUUAGCAGUAGCCUGUGUUACCUGCCGUGGUUUUUGCUUUUUAUUAUUAUUCACGUCCCUUACUGUUUUCCCUUCCCUUAUUGUUUUUGGUUAAUUUGUAAAAUUCAAGGUGAUGUUAUUUUAUUUUUUACCUUCUCUGGUUCUGUGGAAGAAGUCUGUGCCAUUCUGGUUGUGUGAGCACUGACAAGUACAUCCCUGAGAGACAACUACUUAAUUAGUCACAGGGAGGCUUAAGUCUCAAUCCUAAAUAAGGAGAUAACAUCAUGGUGGCAAAACCUGUCACCUUUGCCCAAGCAGCCUGGAGGGAGAAAGACCGUUACUGCACAGUCCAAUCUACUUACAUGAUAGAAAAGGAUACUGGGAUGGAAAAUGUAAUAAUUUAAAAACAUUCAAAGAGAAAUAGUCUACAUUUGCACGGGCUACACUCUCUUCCCAGUGCAACAAAUGAACCAGAGUAUCAGCAACUAAGUGAUGGGCAGUUAUUUAAUGAGUUAAUCUCAUUAGGAUAUUUGAACUCUCAGAAGAGGCUCAAACCAUUAGCUACACGAGAGCUUUGAAAUAAGCCUUUCAAAAGGACUAUAAGAAUAUAUUAAAAAGUGGUUAAUACACUGUGAACUUUACCAGGAUUCCCCUUGGAUCAGGCUGUCUGGCAGGAGGUUUUUACUGGGGAGCUUCUCCACAAGUCCUGCAGACACAGUCACUAAUAGGCUCAAGUUUACCCUAGAGCCCAUCAAGUAACAUCACCAACAAUUUGGAUUCCAGCAGUUUCUAAGGUUGGCCUCAAUAUGUUACACAAUUGCACCUUGCUUCCCAAUUUUUAAAUCCUUUAGCUUUAAAUCUGGAUAGUUAAAACUGGACUAGUCAUCACAUUACAUAUCUGACUAAAAGACCUGUGAUAAUACUUUUAAAUACAAGUUAUUUAGCCUCACAUUCUCUACAGUGGCUGUAUUAUUCCCUCUAACCUUUUCCUUUCUUUACCUUGAAUUUGGGCACAAUCUAUGUUUAUGUUAGUGUAUAAUUAACUAAGUUAAAAACAGCAGAGUCCCAUUUCAAACAACAUUACAUUGUCACACCAUGUCAAACAAUUGCACCUCUUGAAUUUAGACUGUAUAACUAUUUUCUGCUCUCUGUUUACUUUUAUUAGCUCCAGUGGAAUUAUUCAUAUCAAUAAAGUGAACAGCAUUUGACCCUCUAAAAGUAAAUGAAAGACAUUAAUAGAAGAACCCAGAGAAUAUCUUCCAGCAAUAAUUAAAACUCGGGGCAGAAUAAUUUUUUCAGUCAUCAUAAAUCAUAAUGAAAAGUGGAUACCUAAUGUCUGAUUGUUCAGAUCUGCUCCAUGAAAGCAGUCGGGAAAUGUCCAGCUCUUUUAAUUGCUAAUAAUUACUUCGUAGUUUAAGAAGCAGUGAUAUAAAAGAUCCUUAUUGUUUAGAGUAUUACAAAAUUUAACUGUAACUAAUGCAUUUUCAAGAGUUUGGGGAACAUUAUUAAAGUUCAUUUCCAUGCUGCAGCUGCAGGAGUUAGAAUUAUGAAAGUGAAGAAGCUGUAAAAUUGAAAAGGUCAGCAAUGACAUUCAUCUAUUCCAGCUGUCAAAUCAAGGGAAUGUUAACAAAACUAGUCUCUGGUAGAAAAGCUAAUUGUCUACAUGUAUUUUGGCUGCUCCUAUACAUGUACUCUACUGUGGCUAAUCUAUAGAAAGACCAUGCUGGAACAGCUCAUCUUUUUUUGAUCAGGCCUUCUGCAAACAAAGGAGCCUCAUUGCCCCAAAUAAGCAAGUUCUAAUGAUUGUAUAACUCCAACCAGCCUAAAAAGCAGCCGUAUGUUCCAAGUCAGUGUUUAAAGAAAAAAGCAUGUGAAUGAAGUUUAUAGACUCCUGGCAGCAGAGUUCAACUUCCAGAGUGGUGGGAGUACAGGGCAAAUUUAGUAUUUUACUCUAAUGUUGUGUUCUUAAAAAUAGUAUUUCUAAAACGUCUCCUGCCAAGGCAUGUUUUAUUAUAACAAAAUAUAGAAAAGUCUCUAUUGCAGACCAAAUCUUUUGUAGAUGACCUGGAUUUAGUAAUCCCUCAGUGUGAAGGACCUUCUCUUCAACAUUCUAUUCCCCGCAGGGUGAGACUGCAAACCUAACACAGCUAAACACAGACCAUCAGUGAAGACUGAGUCUAGGAACUUUGCUAUUGAAUGACAGACCCCUGCCUUGUGCAGGAGGAGCUCUCAGCAAGGAACAGUGAGAGAUUUAUGUUUUUUAUUAUGCACCAAAUUCCACCUUCUUCAGACCAUGACACUCCUCAGCAAUUGAGAGCAAAGAAAAGUGACUCCAGACCUGUAGCACGCCACACAUUCAAGGGAAUCAAGUGCUUAAUCUUCUCUAGACAAAUUCAUUGCAAGCCCCUCUGGCUAUUUGCUAUUGUUUAUUUUUGUAUUUUCACCUUAUGUGUUUGUAGAUGUUCUCAGAGGUCUACACACACAACUCUACCAACCACAAGUAGCUGACUGUCAGUGUGAAAGCCGUAUUCCUAUAUUGCACCAUAUACAUCAACUCACGCCUCAAUUUAUCUGGUGUUAUGCAAUACAGAUGUGACAGAAACAAUCCAAUUUGACCUAUGUCAACAUAUUAUUAGGUCAGUAUGUAGCUUUCUGGAUAACUUUUUAAAAAUCUGUUAUCUGACCUUUGUGGUUUUUUUUUUUUUUCCUAUAGAGAAGUAUUGCAAAAGCCAGAAACAAUACCGACAAUUCAUGAAAUAUUCAAGUGUACAGUUGCAAUCUUUUAAUAAAUGGAAGUGACCUUCAAAAGAGACAUCCCAAAGAUUAAGAGAAUUUCUCCAUAGAUGGCAUUUGUCACUAAUCAAUGACCGAAAGAACUUACACUCUUCAUAGAAGUGAAUACAAAAAAGAUCUUUCAGAAUUCUAUCACUUUACAAGUAAAUUUUUCACAAAGCCCACAGAAAAGAGCAUUAACAAGCUAACAAAACAACAGAACAAAACAUCAAACAGGCAAAUUGAAAGGAUACAUCCCCCUACACCUAUUGGUAACUACGUCCACAUUUAGAGAGCUAGAGUCAUUUGCACAUCCACACACUAUUCUCUGAGGCUAGAUGAUACUAUCAGAAUUAACUGCAUUUCUUCAACUGCAUUGAUAUGUCAAAAUACAUGCAACAUUCUACUAGCCAAUUUUCUUUUUCAUAUUCACAAAGAUAUUGGGCUCUAACUGGGUCACGGUAUUGGAACAGAUGUAAUCUCAGCAGAAUACUAUGAGAAAUCUGGGCUACAUUAAUGACUGAUCCAAUUACAGUGGAAAUCUCUAGAAAACCCAGAUUUACUAAGAACCAGGAGAUAAUUAUGAUGUACUUCUAGGGACGACCAGAUGGACCAGACAGUCUCAAACUCUAUAAGGAGACCAGAGCUGAAUGAGAGGCACCCGUGCUGUUGCCUACAUAGUUGGAGAUAUUCCCAUUCUGAGAAUAUGAUCAAAACAGACAGAUUCUUUCAGCAAACACCUGUGAGGACUGGAUCAAAACACAUCCUAUACUGGGAAGCAGCAUGGCUUAUGUCCUGCUGUGAUGAUGGGGUGACAGAGGAAUAGGUAUCCAGGAGAGAAUGAAAGAGCAGGAAUCAAGAAACCUCAGGCAGCAAGUUAUGUUCUCUCUCCUGAAUAGGCUAUAGAUGCCACCUUCCAAGGAGCAAUCUGAUACCACACCUAAGAAAACCCAACAAUCUACUGUGGAUUUACACCCAGAAGGAAAGAAAAAUACUUGAGAAAUCUGAGUAUAAACACCUCCUUUCACCAAUCCAAAGGCAGGCAAAAUUUCAUAGUAACCUUAUCUGUGAUCUUGAUAACAUCUUUCAGAGAGGUGUGCCUCUCUUACCUCUGAGUAGUCCCAUUAAGGUAAUUUGGAUCUAAGAGGAUGUAUGAUGUUAAACAUUUAGUUAAUUAUAAAUGUUGCUGAAUCAAGAUUUUUUUUCAGAUAAAUAUUUUACCAGAGAAGAUAUAUUAAACAGUGGAAAGUAAUAUUUCUUAUUUAUAGAACCUGCUGCCAGCUCCAAGCUAGUAAAUAUUUACAUUUCAGGCACUUUGAUGGCUAAUGUGACCUUUCUGUUGCACACUUUACACCUGUGCUGUAUUUUACUUUCAGUGUUAACAUCCUUUCUAGUCCAUCUUCCAUUAACAAGCAGUAUUUAAAUAUAUGCAAAUUUCAUAUUUUAGCUGAUGUUUUAGGAACAUUUUUAAGGUCACUCUGUUUGAUCUAUCAUACAGACACAGCAAAUUUAUGCACCAUAUAUCCUAUCUCUACUUGUUUUUACCUACAUCUGUCUUCUCUGAUUGCAUUUGAAUGGGCUUAUUUUCUACUUUAAAUAAAAGAUUUAUGCCUUAGCUGUCAGUUUGCCUUUAUUUGAAAAUUUAAUUUUGUUUCUAGGAGUCUAGAUUAACUUAUUAGAUUUAACUGUCCCUUGUGCUUUGCAGCGAUAGCAGAAGUAUAUUUUCCCUUGCGGAGAGAAUACAUAAACAAAAUGCUCUUAGCUUAAGAAUAAAGAAUGUUAUUACUUAGACCAAUACAACACAGUUGGUCCAGGAAACAAAAACUGAUGUUGUGAUAUUUUUUUAAUUUAUGAUGGCCAGCAGUGAGAACUGACUCAUAAAUAUGAGCUCUCACAAAUCCUGGAGCCACCAGAACUUGGAAAAUGCUUUGCGAAAAAGGUACAUUCCCCCAAAAUGUCCCCAACGCUUGGGAUAUAGAAUACCCUUUCAUGAAGCAGUACCACUGGGAAACACAACUUCAUUCUUGAUACUCAUGGAUUUAUUUAAGUGAGCAACAAAUGAGAAUCUGCCCCACUGCUUCCAGUUAGUCAGAAGCCUAUUUGUUGAUUCAGUGUGCUAUUCCACAUCUUCAGUGAGACGUGUUCUUUACUGUCUCUCAGUAGAGCUACAUUCAUAAUACUGUUCAUCAAGCCCUGGAAUUUCAGGGCUUGCCUGAAAGGAGAACAGGCUCACUGCAGUUGCUGCAUGUGGUCCUUGCAAAGCCCAAAACGGCUGUGUUCUCUGGUGGGUGGGCUGGGGUGUCUGAGGGAGGUUAAUCUUUUCAACUACGUUCAUCCAUUUUGACCUUCUUCUCUAUUUUUCAUUUCUAGAAGUACCUGGGAUUCUCAGCAACUCUGUGAUUUUUCUCUUUAUUUUGCAACAUCCACAUAGACCUGAACAGAAUCUGUUUUUAAUCAAUCCCUACACUUUUUAUAAACUCUAAAAACCCACAGCUCUUGAUUCUGUACUCUCAAUUAUAUGCACUGCUUUUGAAAGGAAUUGAAGUGUUCCCUCAUCAAUAAUGUUCCUAGAAGCGCCAGGAGAUUGCAGUAUAAGAAUAUCAGGGCAGAGAAAGUAGAAAAUUGAAGGAUCAGUAUUUACUUAUCUACUCUAGCAAGCAGUCAGUCACACAGCUGUUAACUGUAUCCUGACUCACUUUGUUAAAUAGUGAACACCAUGAGCACAAGACUUUUGUGGAGAAGCAGGGAUUCAUCAUACAAAGAAAACAAAUACACAUUUAUGGUGGCUUUCAUCACUCACAAAAUAUCAGCAGAGAUAAAUGGCACAUAGGAACAUGAGGCCCUCUAUUCUGCCAGCCAGAGCAAUACAGCUGUUAUAUAAGAUGAUAAGCAGUGAUGAAGAAUAACAUGACCAGCAGUAAAAUAAUAAUAAUAAUAAUAAUAAUAAUAAUAAUAAUAAUAACAACAACAACAAAGGCAUUAAGGCAGGCAGAACAGGACAGAACUUAUCUGACUUGAUAGCCUUCAGUCUGUGACACUGUAUAUAUAAAGUGCCAACAGAUUCAAGAAAGGACAGUAAUUAGUAAGUCCUGGCAUCUUCCUAAUAAAAAAAUCAGUGAAAAUACCACAAAGCACAAUCUCUGCAUGUACAGUACUAUUAAUACAAAGUGGAGUCUUCACAGAGUUCUUCAAAAAUCUCUUCAGCUCAGAAAUGCUCUUUCAGGAAUGAUCAUAAAUAUGGCCUACCUACCAUCAUACCCAGGUAAAGAACGCAGAUGAAGCUGGUGUGGUUUGAACAUGCUGGUGGAGGCACUGGGCAGGUAACCAUCUGGCAGGGAAGGCUUAUGCUCAUCUGCUCUCUUGGUAGUGAGUUUCCUUGCUGCUGAAGGGCAGAAGUAAAUCUAUUCCAGUCAUUCCCUUCUGUUGUGAUAGCAAAAAACUUAUCAAGGAUGUGUUAUGCUAAAUCCUAUGACAACAAGCAUUUCAAAGCAUCAGACAAGACAGAUAAUAAAAGGGUAAAACCUGCAAGGAAAUAAACCAUGCACUACACAUGUAAAGAUUUCUUUAUCAUGCUUAGGUAGAAUAAUCUAUUAUUGUGACCAUUACUUAGUUACAGAAUGUACCACCAAAUAACAAACUGAUCGUACAAACCACUGCAACAACACAGCUGAUUUUUUUCCAGCUUCUCCAAAGACAGUAGUCUGGUUUUGAUUUAACAAGUAAUUAAUGAAUACAUAAACCCUGGACAGAACUUUAAUCUAUCCCAGCGCCAAAUAAUUAAUCAUUCAUUCCACGUUUAAUCCUGUUCUGAUAAAUGUAAUUAAUAUUUCAUCAUGGCACUGCAGAGUAGAAGAGUACUUGGGAGCAGAGAAAGGCACCCUUCUAUCUCUCCCCUCAUUGCAGCUCUGGAGUGAAAGGCACUGUCUACAGCUGACAGCUGUUCUGACAGAAGACCUUCUGAUGUCCCCCACACCACAGCCUGAGAAGCAGCCUGGCAGCCAGGCUAUAGGGAUCCCUCGUUUAUCAGUUAUUUGAUUCAUUCCAUUCAGGCUGAUACAUCUUCCUGGCUUCGUUGCUGUUUGAUUUAACUUCUGUUUCUAGCAUCUGUAGUGGAUUCUUUUAUGUACAACCACCUAAAACCAUGUCUUGUACACAGGUAGCAAAAGCAGUGAUUUGAUAGCGUGGUGUGCAUUUUGGCAAUGUACUUUAUCAAAGAUGUAUUUUGCCUGCAGCAAAACGAGCUGUCAGCUGUUACAAUGAACUGUCACAUAUUCACAUUUUAAUAUGAAAAAUAAUUAUUCCUCCGUUUCUAUUAAACAGCUACCUAUUCUUCAGGCUGGAAAUCAGAACUGCUUUCACAGAGUAUCCAGCUCGCUACUGAAAAGAUUAAAUGGGUCGAGUGUAACACUGUAAAUAUGAUCAAGGCAAAAAGCCAGUCAAUAAAACUGACGGUUUUAUCCUAAUAAAGCAGGGAGGCCUCUGCCAUUUCUCUGUGGCAGAUAGUUAAUUGUCCAGCUGUACGCAACAACUUCAGGACAUCUGGCCACUUAACCAAAGAGUACAAGGUUUGGAAUGCCAAAGGACCCAUAAGUGAAAUAAUGAGUGGUCUGACUCAUUUAUAGUGAAGUCCCUGCACACGGCUCUGACAUCAGUGGUCAAAGCUAAAUUAACGUGACUGCAAGUACUGCUCUUACUUCAUCCCCAACACCUGCCUUAAGAUACAGCUGGGUGCACCAAGAGCAGCAGUGGUCCCAGCUGGGACACAGACACAACAGUCUCAGCCGAGAUAGGGUGGCUGCCUACUGCUCUGCUCUGCAACAAGGUUGUGGCUUACCUGUAUCCUAAUUUAGGAUGAAGAAUGAGUUUGAAAAGUAUGACAAACAUACAGUGCAGUCAACACUUGGUACUGCCUCUGCGUAAAAUUAUGAUUCUUUGCUUCAGUCACCCUAAAAGCAGCUUCAGCCCAGGCUGAAACAUAGUGGAGUUAUACAACUAACCCAGCCAUCUCCUCCCCCUGCAAGCCCUUCCGUGAGACCACAGGUAGUACUGCACACACAGAGAUCACCUUGCUUUAUCAUACACAUGAAACUAACUUUUGUUGUUAUAGUUCAGGGCUUAAAAAUAGACUUGAUGUAUGGAUUUUCUGUUUUAUAGGCAGAGGAAAGAUUCAAUAUAUUGAUUUGAGCUGUAAGGCUUACUUCAUUCAGGGUGCAAUCAAAGCAUGUGGAUUUCUACAACUUUGGGUGCACAGUUUUGGUCAGACUGCAGGUGCAGAAGUUGUUAGGCAAGCCUGCAGGAGCAUGUUAGUGGGCAACGCUGACAUGUCUGCAUGCUUUCAUUCCUAAAAUGAUCCCAUGUCUUGUGCUUUUAGUGAAUUCAUUUCCUCCAGGAUAGCUCUAGAGAGCAGUUCAGAGACACCUUCCAAUAAGGUAACUUCCCUCACUGCCAUUUUAUCAAGACUUAACAUCACUCCUUUCCAUGUGGUGAGUUUAAUGCAGGUAUCUUUGUUAUCUCACAAGAAAGGCAGUGAUGAACUUGGAAGGCCAAGAAGCUUUGGUGAUUCUCCUCCCCUGCCUGUACUCUCAGGAUCAAUUAUAAGGAGGCUAGGCUACUGCAUAUGCAAUUUACUGGAGAAGUGAUAGGAAGUUUUACCAGCUUACCUGUUUCAUUCUACUAGCAAGUUAUCACACAGCAGCCCCCAGGCACCCCCAGACUACAGAGGGCUUCCUAAAUACAGGAAUGAAGCAUUAACCCAUCACACAGAGAAGGAAAAUAAGAUAAGGACACUGCAAGCCAGGGGUAAAAACAGGACAAGACACCAAAUAUCCCUCUUCUCAAGGUGAAUUUCUCCUCUACUGAAAUGGACGACUGUCCAUCACCCACCAUUUUGCUUAUGCUUGUUCAGUUGCAAAGAAAUCUAUCUGAUGAAGUGAAACACCACCUCCAAGAAAUGAGGUAGCCGUUAAGUGAGAAUACUAGAUUCACACAAGCUUCGUGGCAGAUGCCUUAGGACUGAUCUGUUCAACCUGGAAUGGAAAACGAUUUGCUUUUUUUUCCUUCCCACAGGGCAUAAGUCUUCCCUGUCUCUCUGUUGUGCUAGUGAAAGCAAAUUUCACCAGAAACUGAAUCCAUUUACAAAUAUUUUGAUAGAUUGAGACAGCUGCUCAGGAAAAAAGAAAGAUUAAACACAUGCAGUUAAGAUACAGUGUCACACGAACAGCUGUUGCAGAGACCCACAGCCUAUGUGGACUUCAUUUUAUUUAUGUCUUUUAAAGAUCAUGUGGGUUUCCCUGUAAAAUAGAAAUAAAGUGAGCACUAUUUCUGUUGGUAAUAAAUUAAAGAAAAAUCUCAGAUAAUUUAUCCUCCAAAAUGCACAGUCUUGACUGUUUUUACUUGUUUUGGCAGGAAGACAGAAAUGCAAAAUGUACAAGCACUGCUCUUGUAUACACUCACGUCUCAUUCUAUAGAUCUGGUUGGCAACUCCUUCUGAGGCUCUCAGUUUCUGACUGGAACAGGUCAUUAUGUGUGCACCUCAAUCCAUCACUUCCGAAGCAUCCUGUGAAGAAAUUGCCAUUAGAAACCAGUGUAGCGAAACCAACUACCUUCUAUCUAAAAGCAUGACUUGCAUUUUUGUAUCACAUCUCAUUCUUUUUAUUCCUAACAUUACCUAUCUAUCUGUAUAGUUACUUUCUGUAGCAGCAGAGAUCAUGCUGUAUCUAUUUUUACUGCACCAAUUACUGCUAUUUUAAGACUGUAUAGAAAUGUCUACAAAUAAAGAUUAGCUGAAAGUUC